GGGCGCAAGCCUGAACCAGCCAUGCCGCGUGCAGGAAGACGGCCUUCCGGGUUGUAAACUGCUUUUGUACGGGAAUAAACCUCCGAUCGUGAUUGGAGCUGAAUGUACCGUAAGAAUAACGAUCGGCUAACUCCGUGCCAGCAGCCGCGGUAAUACGGAGGAUCCGAGCGUUAUCGGGAUUUAUUGGGUAUAAAGGGUGCGUAGGCGGCCUGUUAAGUCAGGGGAGAAAGACGGUGGCUCAACCAUGGCAGCGCCCUUGAUACUGAUGGGCUUGAAUGGAAGAGAGGUAGGCGGAAUGUGACAAGUAGCGGUGAAAUGCAGAGAUAUGUCACAGAACACCGAUUGAGAAGGCAGCCUACUAUGGUCAUAUAGACGCUGAGGCAAGAAAGCGUGGGGAUCGACCAGGAUUAGAUACCCUGGUUGUCCACGCCCUAAACGAUGAACACUCGCU
rnacentral:rRNA from 1 species